CACACAUUUGCUAAUUGUAAUAUACGUGCAUACAUUUUUUGGACUGUGAGUAAGAAAUCCUUUUGUGUGGACCCAGGGGCCCGCUGGCUCCAUAAAAGACUCCAGGAGUUAAAGAAAAAUGGAAUAUUUUGCACAGUCCUGUGAAAAACCUUCAACAGCCAAGAUGAAGGUGAUGCACCAUGGCGCUCUAAGCAGAAGUCUUUACGCUGGCACCAAUUUCUGUUUAAUUGUUCUACUAACUGAAAUGUUUACCUUAAACCUUGAAGGUUGAAUGAAUAGCAUUUGUUGGUUGAUGUUUGCAAACACACCAUUUAAAGCUGGCCCCUCGUCCUGGCUCAACUAGCAAGUGGGAGAGACAGAGCGACAGUAGUUGAGCAUAUAAAAACUGGAGACAAUCCCAAUAUCUAGCCUAUCGCUCUCCCUCUGAAGCUCAAAAAUGAAAUGGGGGGAAAAAACACAACAACUUUCUUAACACAAUGUGCCUAUGGCAUUAUUUAAUCCAAUAUGAACUGUAUUGAACAAUAAAAUGUCAAUUACACAACAGAUUUUAAUGUUACACAUGUUACACAGCCUGUUAGUUUGGAGUUAACCACUCAUUUGCCAACAUACCACAUGAGUUACAACAUUUGCAAAGCUACUUCUUCCUCUUCUUGUAUUUAUUGUUCUGCCUAGUUCAAGGCCAGCCAGAUCCAAGGUGUUGACUGCAGUGGUUAGGGCAAUAUCAAUCCCUGGGGUAGCAUAGCAUAAAGAACAGCUAACGUAUUGUUGUUGUUUCUAUUUCUGUGUUCACAUACACAAUCAUGCACAAUAUAAAACAUUUAUGAGCUCUCUGCAUUUAACUCAUCCUAAGUAUCAGGAGCAGUUGGCCUCCACGAUGAAGAUGAAGAUGUAGAUGAUGCUCCAUGACUUUUUAAGUAGAAAUCUUUACACCUUUGCCCACAUCUACAGAUGUGGCCGAUCCUUUGGUGACAGUGGUCUGCUCCUUUGGUCUGCAACUGAAGCACAGUGAGUGGAGAUCAUUGUCCGUCAGUACGACAUCUAGGCAAAUGCGAUAUCUCAGGAACAAGAAAUUUGUUCGAAAUUGGAACAAACGUUCAUCUGGACGGAUGAACUGAUUAGAAUUUGGUGAAAAUUCAUGGUCAUUAUGGCCUCAAAAUAGGUUCUUGUUUGGUGUCUGAAUUACGCGGACAUAUCUGGCAUCUAAGCAAGUAAGGCACAAAGGGGUUAUAUUUAGUCUGUAGAUUGAUCAUGUGUGGUUUGGGUGUAACACGAAUUAAACCAAUCAUGAGUGUUAUCUCCCAUUACCCUCUGAAAGCCAGCUGUGCCUGGAAUGGCACAUUGCUAUUUAAAUGGCAGAUGAAUGCCACAUUAUUGAAACCAUCAAUUGCAUCAA